GCAUAUCAAUAAGCGGAGGAAAAGAAACCAACAGGGAUUGCCUUAGUAACGGCGAGUGAAGCGGCAAUAGCUCAGAUUUGAAAUCUGGUCCUUUUAGGGCCCGAGUUGUAAUCUGUAGAGGAUGCUUCGGCGUUGGCUCCGGCCUAAGUUCCUUGGAACAGGACGUCAUAGAGGGUGAGAAUCCCGUAUGUGGCUGGUCUCCUUCGCCAUGUGAAGCUCCUUCAACGAGUCGAGUUGUUUGGGAAUGCAGCUCUAAACGGGAGGUAAAUUUCUUCUAAAGCUAAAUACCUGCCAGAGACCGAUAGCGCACAAGUAGAGUGAUCGAAAGAUGAAAAGCACUUUGGAAAGAGAGUUAAAAAGCACGUGAAAUUGUUGAAAGGGAAGCGCUUGCAACCAGACUUGCCUACGAUGGCUUAUCCAAACCUCUGGUUUGGUGCACUCCUUCGUGGUCAGGCCAGCAUCAGUUCGGGCGGUUGGAUAAAGGUCCCGGGAAUGUGGCUCCUUUCGGGGAGUGUUAUAGCCCGGGAUGCAAUGCAGCCUGCCUGGACUGAGGUCCGCGCUUCGGCUAGGAUGCUGGCGUAAUGGUUGUAAGCGGCCCGUCUUGAAACACGGACCAAGGAGUCUAACAUCUAUGCGAGUGUUUGGGUGUAAAACCCAUGCGCGUAAUGAAAGUGAACGGAGGUGGGAACCGCAAGGUGCACCAUCGACCGAUCCUGAUGUCUUCGGAUGGAUUUGAGUAAGAGCAUAGCUGUUGGGACCCGAAAGAUGGUGAACUAUGCGUGGGUAGGGUGAAGCCAGANGAAACUCUGGGUGGAGGCUCGCAGCGGUUCUGACGUGCAAAUCGAUCGUCAAACCUGCGCAUANGGGGCNAAAGACUAAUCGGUAUGUUCCCUUUUCUUGGGCUUUAAUUUUAGAAUAUAUAACUAACAUUUUUUAUAGAACCAUUUGCUUAAGCUACUCGGUGGUUAAGAGGCAGCUAAAAAUGCAUGCCUAGUCCUUCUAUUUAGGGCGACACUGUCAAAUUGCGGGGACUCCCUUAAGCUUAAACUACCGCAGCCUAUCGAAAGAUAAGGUGUAGCACCAGGGUAAUGACCUCNGGGAUGGUAAAAACGUUUAANAUUGGGUAAUCCGCAGCCNAAGUCCUAAGUCAUAACUAUGAUAUGGAUGCAGUUCACANACUAAAUGGCAGUGGGUAUAGUUUUUUUUUCUAUAAACUAUGCUUAAGAUAUAGUCGAUACCUUGUGGAAACACAUGUAAUAGGACAAAGCCUUCUUUAAAAAUAGGGCAAUAAUAAUUGCAUAGAGAAGUGCCCGAACCCUAUUAGCAGGUGCCUGUUUUAGGCCCCUGUGUAUUAAAUGCUAGUAGCUGGUUCCUGCCGAAGUUUCCCUCAGGAUAGCAGUAACGAUUUCAGUUUUAUGAGGUAAAGCGAAUGAUUAGAGGCCUGGGGGUUGAAACAACCUUCACCUAUUCUCAAACUUUAAAUAUGUAAGAAGUCCUUGUUACUUAGUUGAACGUGGACAUUUGAAUGUACCGUUACUAGUGGGCCAUUUUUGGUAAGCAGAACUGGCGAUGCGGGAUGAACCGAACGCGGUGUUAAGGUGCCGGAAUGCACGCUCAUCAGACACCACAAAAGGUGUUAGUUCAUCUAGACAGCAGGACGGUGGCCAUGGAAGUCGGAAUCCGCUAAGGAGUGUGUAACAACUCACCUGCCGAAUGAACUAGCCCUGAAAAUGGAUGGCGCUCAAGCGUGCUACCAAUACACCGCCGCCAGGGUAGAAACGAUGCCCUGGCGAGUAGGCAGGCGUGGAGGUCUGUGACGAAG
rnacentral:rRNA from 1 species